AAAACUUGAUAUCCCCUAUAAUAUAUUGUUUGGUUGUACUUACUGAUGUUUAAACUUUGCAGGACUUCUCAAAUAAAAUGUUUAUUUUGUUUUACUUCAAGAAAAAGGUAUGUAACUAAUGAAUUGCAACGUGAUUCCAUUUCUCUUGUUUGAUUAUCUCUUCUGAUUUUGCAUUUUCGCUUGUAGGAAAAGCACGAUUCUAAAAGGAAGAAGGAAAUUGAAUGGCCAUCACUUAAACCUUGUUUAUACAAGCGUCGUUGAGACUGAUUAUUUUAUAUGUUUAUACACUAUCAUUGUGUGGACGAAAGUCAAAUCAUAUUUGUUGUUAGCAUGGCCAGUGAAUCACAAAAGUUGUUGUAUUAUUUGGUUCUUUACAAUCCAGGUUCUGUACAAUUUAUUCGUUGAUUGAUAGGUGCAUAGGAUUUACGGUUGUUUGAAUGAAGAAUUUUGAGGAAACUCGUAGAGAGAUGUCACAUGGUUGCACCUUUGUCGACGUAAAAGUCACAUGGUUGCAUAGGAUUUACGGUUGUUUGAAUGAAGAAUUUUGAGGAAACUCGUAGAGAGACGUCACAUGGUUGCACCUUUGUCGACGUAAAAGUCACUUUUAUUGUUUGUUGUUAUUCAUCAGAAAAAAUGUAUCAGAACUUAGGGUGUCUAAAAGUCGUUUUACGGAAGUGGAAAUUAAUUUUUUUGGUCAAGAAGUGGAAAUUAUUUCUAAAAAUAAAA
rnacentral:lncRNA from 1 species